UUUCGCUACAUUCGACGAAUUUUUUAAUUUAAUUCAAAUGAUUUUAGAACUACGAUUUAGGUGUCAACCCCUUUUCGUAUAAUAUCGAAUUGUGACUUAGAUAUCAGCCCUUUGUGUGAUUAGCUCUUAUAAUAUGGAAUUGCAUAUGCAAUGGGGAUCGUAGUUUUGAUUCCAUAAAGACAAAUUUUGUUACAUGCAAAUAGAAAUUUUAUGCUCUUAGUAUCAUGGAGAAAUAUUCUAUUUUCUUUUUUUCAAAUUCAGAUAUUUUUUUAUAUCUGUACGAUAUUUAUUAUGAUAUUUUAUGCAAUGUCGUUUAAUCUAGUUUUUAUAAAAGUAACGUAUCAUUGGGCAUUUUGAUACAAUUUAAAAAAUAGUCGUAAAAAUAAUAGACAAACGCAACGGAUGAAUUGUGGGCUUGACUCUUCACUUUGCAUUUUAACUCGAUAGAGAUGCAGUAUGUGAGAAGUGGUAUGAGAGAUUUUUCGCUCACAUUUUUGGCUUCCUAUCAAGACACACGUCAUGUACCUAAGUGGACGUAAGAAGUUCGAAAUUCAAAAAGAACAGCAAUUACUCGAUCGGAUAUUUCAAUCCUCGGAAAUGGAGGACGCGUUUCAUUCAUGAGAAUAUAAAAUUAAGAGCACGGAAUAUUUUGUAAACCUAAUGCUCACGACAAAAUUCAUUUCCCAUUCGAACAUCAGUUUUUUCAACCGAGAAUCGUUAAAAAUAAAUUACGUAUAAAUAUCUCGAUAUUAUAUUUUGGCACUGUGUUACAUCAGAAAAUAGUUAAAAUUAACUUACGUAUUUUCCAAAGAAAAUAAUAACAGUAUAGCCUAGUACUCUAUUUAUAUUCUGAAUAAUAACGCAAAGAAAAUUACCUUCGUUAAUAUUUCAUUGUCCAAACGCUAUAAUUUAACUAUUAACAGGUGUACUCGAACGAAACUUUAUCAAGGUAAUUUCCAAUUUCAAUUCUUUUCCAUAUCGUGCGUACGGAAAUUCAUUCGAUCAAGUCUAUUCAGAAGAUUCAUUAAUGCGAACGUAAUCGAAUAAUAAAUGUUCGCCUUUGUAUAUCGCGGCUUCGCGAAACCAUCUCACAGUUAAAUAAUGCGCGAUUAACGCGCUUAACGUUAGUUACGUCCUAAGGAAAACGACGUGUACAAGUCAGCGAAUAUCGUCGAUAGCUAUGAUUUCUAUUAAACGAUGAAGGCGCAGUUGGCAAAGGUAUUGCGGCGGAACUGUUUCGAACGCCGUAAACCGUACGUAUUUAAAUUCAUAGUCGUGACUAUAACCGUGACUCGUGGAAAAUUACGUUACUUUCUUUACGGUUGUUCCUGCCGCGUGACCGGCGGAAGAAAUGCGCAGCCACUUGAAAAUUCUUACAUCAAACGCGCGCACGCUCGUUCACCAUCUUCCCCUCUACGCGAGACGUUUCUCACAAUCGCGUCCGAGAAAAAGCGAUGGUAGAAGCCAAAAAUUGUGUAUCAAAUGGAAGCGGAUUGAAAGAAAGAAGAGGCAGAAAUUUUUCGUACGUAUAUUUGCAAUGGGAAUGCAAGAAGCUGCGGAAGAAAUCAAAUUGGAGAAGGUACGCGUAUACAGCAGAAAAUGAUAGGAAAGCAUAUCAAACAAACAUAAAAUUUGUUUAAAGCGAGAGAACACAAUGAACAAGAAGAUUGAAUAAACUUCGAAUUUUUCAGAAACGAGGAAACAGCAUGGAGCAAACAUGAAAACAAUAUUGGAUUGAAGCAAUUCGAAAAAACGUUACGCUCCAUUAACAUACCAAAUGAGGGUGAAUGCAUAAAUGUUCGACUCUCUCUUUUUUCCAGCAAAUGCAAAUCGAAGAAUAACGACACAGAUGGAUAAUGAAAUAAUGUAAAUGUUGAGCUAUAUGUGAGCCACAGAUUUUACGGAAAUUUAUUGUAUUAAUAACAUUUAACAAUGUUUCUUUGCGCUUAAAAUAUACUGAAACCUACUUCGUUCCCAA